rnacentral:rRNA from 1 species
UCUCAGUUCGGAUUGGAGUCUGCAACCCGACUCCAUGAAGCUGGAUUCGCUAGUAAUCGCGCAUCAGCCACGGCGCGGUGAAUACGUUCCCGGGCCUUGUACACACCGCCCGUCAAGCCAUGGGAGCCGGGAGUGCCUGAAGUCCGUGACCGCGAGGAGCGACCUAGGGUAAGACCGGUGACUGGGGCUAAGUCGUAACAAGGUAGC